rnacentral:rRNA from 1 species
AGUUUGAUCAUGGCUCAGGAUGAACGCUAGCGGCAGGCUUAAUACAUGCAAGUCGAACGGUAACAGGUGUAGCAAUACAUGCUGACGAGUGGCAGACGGGUGAGGAACACGUACGCAACCUCCCUCAAACCGGGGCACAACCUUGAGAAAUCAGGGCUAAUUCCCCAUAACAUUGCGAAAGGGCAUCUAAUUGCAAUUAAAGAUUCAUCAGUUUGAGAUGGGCGUGCGUUCGAUUAGCUAGUUGGUAGGGUAACGGCCUACCAAGGCAACGAUCGAUAGCUGGUGUGAGAGCACGACCAGCCACACGGGCACUGAGAUACGGGCCCGACUCCUACGGGAGGCAGCAGUAAGGAAUAUUGGUCAAUGGACGCAAGUCUGAACCAGCCAUGCCGCGUGAGGGAUGAAGGUCCUCUGGAUUGUAAACCUCUUUUAUCUGUGAAUAAACGUCCUUUUUCUAAGGGAUUUGAAGGUAAUAGAUGAAUAAGCACCGGCUAACUCCGUGCCAGCAGCCGCGGUAAUACGGAGGGUGCAAGCGUUAUCCGGAUUUACUGGGUUUAAAGGG